GAUGAACGCUGGCGGCGUGCCUAAUACAUGCAAGUCGAGCGAACGGACGAGAAGCUUGCUUCUCUGAUGUUAGCGGCGGACGGGUGAGUAACACGUGGAUAACCUACCUAUAAGACUGGGAUAACUUCGGGAAACCGGAGCUAAUACCGGAUAAUAUUUUGAACCGCAUGGUUCAAAAGUGAAAGACGGUCUUGCUGUCACUUAUAGAUGGAUCCGCGCUGCAUUAGCUAGUUGGUAAGGUAACGGCUUACCAAGGCAACGAUGCAUAGCCGACCUGAGAGGGGGAGCGGCCACGAGGGAACUGAGACACGGUCCAGACUCCUACGGGAGGCAGCAGUAGGGAAUCGUCCGCAAUGGGCGAAAGCCUGACGGAGCAACGCCGCGUGAGGGAUGAAGGUCGUCGGAGCGUAAAACUCUGUUAUGAGGGAAGAACAUAUGUGUAAGUAACUGUGCACAUCGUGACGGUACCUAAUCAGAAAGCCACGGCUAACUACG
rnacentral:rRNA from 1 species